rnacentral:rRNA from 1 species
UACGUAGGGUGCAAGCGUUAAUCGGAAUUACUGGGCGUAAAGCGUGCGCAGGCGGCUUUGCAAGACAGAUGUGAAAUCCCCGGGCUCGACCUGGGAACUGCAUUUGUGACUGCAUGGCUGGAGUGCGGCAGAGGGGGAUGGAAUUCCGCGUGUAGCAGUGAAAUGCGUAGAUAUGCGGAGGAACACCGAUGGCGAAGGCAAUCCCCUGGGCCUGCACUGACGCUCAUGCACGAAAGCGUGGGGAGCAAACAGG